GCGGCUUAGUGGGAGAGCCUCUGCUUUGCAUGCAGAAGUUCCCAGGUUCAAUCCUUGGCAUCUCCU
rnacentral:tRNA from 1 species